AGAUUGAACGCUAGCGGGAUGCUUUACACAUGCAAGUCGAACGGCAGCACGGGAGCAAUCCUGGUGGCGAGUGGCGAACGGGUGAGUAAUAUAUCGGAACGUGCCCAGUCGUGGGGGAUAACGUAGAGAAAUUUACGCUAAUACCGCAUACGAUCCAAGGAUGAAAGCGGGGGGACCGUAAGGCCUCGCGCGACUGGAGCGGCUGAUAUCAGAUUAGCUUGUUGGUGAGGUAAAAGCUCACCAAGGCGACGAUCUGUAGCUGGUUUGAGAGAACGACCAGCCACACUGGGACUGAGACACGGCCCAGACUCCGUACGGGAGGCAGCAGUGGGGAAUUUUGGACAAUGGGCGAAAGCCUGAUCCAGCAAUGCCGCGUGCAGGAAGAAGGCCGUUUACGGUGUUAAACGUGUCUUUUGUACGGUAGACGAAAAGGUCUGACCCUUAAGUACCGGCGACCCGUAGUCGACGGUACCGUAAGAAGUAACGACC
rnacentral:rRNA from 1 species